rnacentral:rRNA from 1 species
GACGAACGCUGGCGGCGUGCUUAACACAUGCAAGUCGAACGGAAAGGCCCUGCUUUUGUGGGGUGCUCGAGUGGCGAACGGGUGAGUAACACGUGAGUAACCUGCCCUUGACUUUGGGAUAACUUCAGGAAACUGGGGCUAAUACCGGAUAGGAGCUCCUGCUGCAUGGUGGGGGUUGGAAAGUUUCGGCGGUUGGGGAUGGACUCGCGGCUUAUCAGCUUGUUGGUGGGGUAGUGGCUUACCAAGGCGUUGACGGGUAGCCGGCCUGAGAGGGUGGCCGGGCACAUUGGGGAUGUGAGACGCGCCAGACUCCCCUGGGGGGGAGAGGGGGGGGAUAUUGCACACUGGGGGCAAGCCCGAGGCAGGGACGCCCCGUGGGGGGUGAGGGGCCUUGGGUUUUGAACUCCUUUCGCCCGGGACAAAGAGGUGUGGGAAGGUAAAUGGAGAAGAAGCACCGGCUAAACAAGUG